rnacentral:lncRNA from 1 species
UCUAACAUAAGAUCGAUGCUGUGUGCAGCACACGGGGUCUAUACUAAAUGCUUCCUCUUAUCCAUCAACUUGCUGCCCGCAGAAACACAUGCACGCGCAUUGUCCGUAAUAAACUGGACUACAUGCUUAUCUCCCACCUCCUCCACUAUCUGAUCAUAUAGUCGUACGUAGAAGUUUGCAUCUUUCUUCGUCCCUGAUACGUCUUUGCUAGACAAAAAAGCUGUACCUUUUGGGAAAUAGGCCAAGAAGUUUAAAAACUCCUUUUUGCUAACUUUAUUCAACCAACCAUCACUCAUGAGAGUAAUUCCU